ACUCCUACGGGAGGCAGCAGUGGGGAAUAUUGCACAAUGGGCGCAAGCCUGAUGCAGCCAUGCCGCGUGUAUGAAGAAGGCCUUCGGGUUGUAAAGUACUUUCAGCAGUGAGGAAGGUGGAUAUGUUAAUAGCAUAUUCAUUUGACGUUAGCUGCAGAAGAAGCACCGGCUAACUCCGUGCCAGCAGCCGCGGUAAUACGGAGGGUGCGAGCGUUAAUCGGAAUUACUGGGCGUAAAGCGCAUGCAGGUGGUUUGUUAAGUCAGAUGUGAAAGCCCGGGGCUCAACCUCGGAAUUGCAUUUGAAACUGGCAAACUAGAGUACUGUAGAGGGGGGUAGAAUUUCAGGUGUAGCGGUGAAAUGCGUAGAGAUCUGAAGGAAUACCGGUGGCGAAGGCGGCCCCCUGGACAGAUACUGACACUCAGAUGCGAAAGCGUGGGGAGCAAACAGGAUUAGAUACCCUGGUAGGUCUGC
rnacentral:rRNA from 1 species